rnacentral:rRNA from 1 species
UGAGGAAUAUUGGUCAAUGGGCGCAAGCCUGAACCAGCCAUCCCGCGUGCAGGAAGACGGCCCUAUGGGUUGUAAACUGCUUUUCCAGGGGGUGAAACUCCCGUACGUGUACGGGACUGACGGUACCCUGGGAAUAAGCAUCGGCUAACUCCGUGCCAGCAGCCGCGGUAAUACGGAGGAUGCGAGCGUUAUCCGGAUUUAUUGGGCUUAAAGGGUGCGUAGGCGGAUUAAUAAGUCAGUGGUGAAAUCCUGCAGCUUAACUGUGGAACUGCCAUUGAUACUGUUAGUCUUGAGUAUGGUCAAGGUAGGCGGAAUGUGUAAUGUAGCGGUGAAAUGCUUAGAUAUUACACAGAACACCGAUUGCGAAGGCAGCUUACUGGGCCAUUACUGACGCUGAUGCACGAAAGCGUGGGGAUCGAACAG